GAUGAACGCUGGCGGCAGGCCUAACACAUGCAGGUCGAGCGGAUGAGGAAAGCUUGCUUUUCGAUUCAGCGGCGGACGGGUGAGUAAUGCCUAGGAAUCUGCCUGUUAGUGGGGGAUAACUCGGGGAAACUCGGGCUAAUACCGCAUACGUCCUACGGGAGAAAGUGGGGGAUCUUCGGACCUCACGCUAACAGAUGAGCCUAGGUCGGAUUAGCUAGUAGGUGAGGUAAUGGCUCACCUAGGCGACGAUCCGUAACUGGUCUGAGAGGAUGAUCAGUCACACUGGAACUGAGACACGGUCCAGACUCCUACGGGAGGCAGCAGUGGGGAAUAUUGGACAAUGGGCGAAAGCCUGAUCCAGCCAUGCCGCGUGUGUGAAGAAGGUCUUCGGAUUGUAAAGCACUUUAAGUUGGGAGGAAGGGUAUUCACCUAAUACGUGGGUACUUUGACGUUACCAACAGAAUAAGCACCGGCUAACUCUGUGCCAGCAGCCGCGGUAAAAC
rnacentral:rRNA from 1 species